rnacentral:lncRNA from 1 species
UCUAUAGUGGUGAUCUAGAACUGACUUGAUUUGAGAAGGAAAACAAAACAGUUUACACCUUUAAUUCUUUUUUUUUUUCUUCCGUACCAGAGAUUAAACUCAGGACCUUGUGCAUGCAAGCCAGGUGUGGCGCCACUGAGCUAAACCCCUGGCCCAAUAUCUUUCAUUCUUAAAUCAGUUGACUUAAUGCCUUAUAGCCAGUGAUUUUGAACUUUGGGUACACAUGUGGGCAUAUUUUUAAAAAUCACUUGCAUCUGAGCUCUGAUACAGAUUUUGGUAAAUUUCUCUUGGUUACUUUUCUCACUGCUGAAAAACAUACCCAACACCCACAAGUUAAAGGAGGAAAGGUUUAUCUCAGCUCCCAGUUUCUAGAGGUUUCAGUCCAUAGUUGGCUGGCUCCAAAGCAGGGUGGCAUGGCAAAGGGGCGUCACAGAGGAAAAAUAGUUCAUGGCAUGGCUGGUAGAAAGCAACAAGCAGCAGCAGCAAUCCUCCCUUCUUCUGUCUCUUUAUAUUCUAUCCAGGCUACAAGCCUAUUGAUUGGUGCCCUCCACAUCCAGGAUAGCAUUUCUAUUAUCCACACCCUUAAUCCCAGUAUCACACCCUUAAUCCACAUUCACACACCCUAAUCCAGCCACUUUCAAUACUCCCCUCCUAUGACUGCAGAAGGCUUUGCAGGGACAUCUAGAUACAAGCCAUAACAUUGUUCUUUGUCCAGAAUUUUGAUUUAGCAGAUCUGGGUAUCGAGACUUUUUAAAGCUCUUUUGAACAUUAGAAUCCUGGGAAGGUUUUAAAAACACUGUUGCCAAGACUUCUAGUAAAUCUGAAUAUUUAAAGGUGAGGCCUAUAUUUUCAUUUUAUUGUGGCCUACUCCACAUUUGGGUAUUUUUAGAAAACUCUCCGGUAGACAUUAAUGUUUAACCACUUUGAGACCCACCGAAUAAGAACAUCCUAAAGCUGUGUAUCUAAAAGGAACUUUUAAAACAUGGGACUUUUCAUUUUUAGGGAGAAAACCUAUUAGUAGAAGCACUGCAGGCUGUCUGUCUUUGUGGAUUAAUCACUUCUGUGCCAUCACAAUGCGAAGAAACUGUCAUAGCCACCAAAUUCCAAGUAAAUUGUGCAUGCUUUAAAAAUGAAAACACUGGUGGUGCAGGCCUAUAAUCCCAGAACUUGGGAGGCUGAAGCAGAAGGAUCACCACAAAUUCAAGGCCAGUCUCGGCUACAUAGUAAGUUCAAGACCAACUGAACUAUGUAGUGAGACCUUGUUUCAACAACAACAACAAAAAGAAACACAAUUCCCAGCUUAAUUAUUUAAUCUCUUUAUAGAUUGUUGUUAUCCAAACAGUUCUAAAUAUUUUAAAAAUACAUAGUGUUCCAUAUAUGUCUCUAAUCAGUGUUUUCUUUAAGAGUCUCAAUGUUGAUAAUAACAUAUUCCUGGAGGGAAAUAAAAAAUACAAAAAAAAUAGUUUGACUACUUGGCUUUCUG